UUGUAGGACACUCUAUACGGAGUUACAAAGGACGACAUUAGACGAAUCAUCUGGAAAGAUGAAUCAAAGAAGGUAAUAAUCCUGUAGUCGAAAAUGUUGUCUCUCUUGAGUGGAUCCUGAGUACGACGGAGCACGUGAAAUUCCGUCGGAAUCUGGGAGGACCAUCUCCUAAGGCUAAAUACUCUCUAGUGACCGAUAGUGAACCAGUACCGUGAGGGAAAGGUGAAAAGCACCCCGGAAGGGGAGUGAAAUAGAACCUGAAACCGUGUGCUUACAAGUAGUCAGAGCCCGUUAAUGGGUGAUGGCGUGCCUUUUGUAGAAUGAACCGGCGAGUUACGAUUUGAUGCAAGGUUAAGCAGUAAAUGUGGAGCCGUAGCGAAAGCGAGUCUGAAUAGGGCGUUUAGUAUUUGGUCGUAGACCCGAAACCAGGUGAUCUACCCUUGGUCAGGUUGAAGUUCAGGUAACACUGAAUGGAGGACCGAACCGACUUACGUUGAAAAGUGAGCGGAUGAACUGAGGGUAGCGGAGAAAUUCCAAUCGAACCUGGAGAUAGCUGGUUCUCUCCGAAAUAGCUUUAGGGCUAGCCUCAAGUGAUGAUUAUUGGAGGUAGAGCACUGUUUGGACGAGGGGCCCCUCUCGGGUUACCGAAUUCAGACAAACUCCGAAUGCCAAUUAAUUUAACUUGGGAGUCAGAACAUGGGUGAUAAGGUCCGUGUUCGAAAGGGAAACAGCCCAGACCACCAGCUAAGGUCCCAAAAUAUAUGUUAAGUGGAAAAGGAUGUGGCGUUGCCCAGACAACUAGGAUGUUGGCUUAGAAGCAGCCAUCAUUUAAAGAGUGCGUAAUAGCUCACUAGUCGAGUGACACUGCGCCGAAAAUGUACCGGGGCUAAACAUAUUACCGAAGCUGUGGAUUGUCCUUUGGACAAUGGUAGGAGAGCGUUCUAAGGGCGUUGAAGCAUGAUCGUAAGGACAUGUGGAGCGCUUAGAAGUGAGAAUGCCGGUGUGAGUAGCGAAAGACGGGUGAGAAUCCCGUCCACCGAUUGACUAAGGUUUCCAGAGGAAGGCUCGUCCGCUCUGGGUUAGUCGGGUCCUAAGCUGAGGCCGACAGGCGUAGGCGAUGGAUAACAGGUUGAUAUUCCUGUACCACCUAUAAUCGUUUUAAUCGAUGGGGGGACGCAGUAGGAUAGGCGAAGCGUGCGAUUGGAUUGCACGUCUAAGCAGUAAGGCUGAGUAUUAGGCAAAUCCGGUACUCAUUAAGGCUGAGCUGUGAUGGGGAGAAGACAUUGUGUCUUCGAGUCGUUGAUUUCACACUGCCGAGAAAAGCCUCUAGAUAGAAAAUAGGUGCCCGUACCGCAAACCGACACAGGUAGUCAAGAUGAGAAUUCUAAGGUGAGCGAGCGAACUCUCGUUAAGGAACUCGGCAAAAUGACCCCGUAACUUCGGGAGAAGGGGUGCUCUUUAGGGUUAACGCCCAGAAGAGCCGCAGUGAAUAGGCCCAAGCGACUGUUUAUCAAAAACACAGGUCUCUGCUAAACCGUAAGGUGAUGUAUAGGGGCUGACGCCUGCCCGGUGCUGGAAGGUUAAGAGGAGUGGUUAGCUUCUGCGAAGCUACGAAUCGAAGCCCCAGUAAACGGCGGCCGUAACUAUAACGGUCCUAAGGUAGCGAAAUUCCUUGUCGGGUAAGUUCCGACCCGCACGAAAGGCGUAACGAUUUGGGCACUGUCUCAACGAGAGACUCGGUGAAAUCAUAGUACCUGUGAAGAUGCAGGUUACCCGCGACAGGACGGAAAGACCCCGUGGAGCUUUACUGUAGCCUGAUAUUGAAAUUCGGCACAGCUUGUACAGGAUAGGUAGGAGCCUUUGAAACGUGAGCGCUAGCUUACGUGGAGGCGCUGGUGGGAUACUACCCUAGCUGUGUUGGCUUUCUAACCCGCACCACUUAUCGUGGUGGGAGACAGUGUCAGGCGGGCAGUUUGACUGGGGCGGUCGCCUCCUAAAAGGUAACGGAGGCGCUCAAAGGUUCCCUCAGAAUGGUUGGAAAUCAUUCAUAGAGUGUAAAGGCAUAAGGGAGCUUGACUGCGAGACCUACAAGUCGAGCAGGGUCGAAAGACGGACUUAGUGAUCCGGUGGUUCCGCAUGGAAGGGCCAUCGCUCAACGGAUAAAAGCUACCCCGGGGAUAACAGGCUUAUCUCCCCCAAGAGUUCACAUCGACGGGGAGGUUUGGCACCUCGAUGUCGGCUCAUCGCAUCCUGGGGCUGUAGUCGGUCCCAAGGGUUGGGCUGUUCGCCCAUUAAAGCGGUACGCGAGCUGGGUUCAGAACGUCGUGAGACAGUUCGGUCCCUAUCCGUCGUGGGCGUAGGAAAUUUGAGAGGAGCUGUCCUUAGUACGAGAGGACCGGGAUGGACAUACCUCUGGUGUACCAGUUGUCGUGCCAACGGCAUAGCUGGGUAGCUAUGUGUGGACGGGAUAAGUGCUGAAAGCAUCUAAGCAUGAAGCCCCCCUCAAGAUGAGAUUUCCCAACUUCGGUUAUAAGAUCCCUCAAAGAUGAUGAGGUUAAUAGGUUCGAGGUGGAAGCAUGGUGACAUGUGGAGCUGACGAAUACUAA
rnacentral:rRNA from 1 species